CUGUGAGGCAUGCUGGAGGUAUCAGAAGUGCGAAUGCUGACAUAAGUAACGAUAAAGCGGGUGAAAAGCCCGCUCGCCGGAAGACCAAGGGUUCCUGUCCAACGUUAAUCGGGGCAGGGUGAGUCGACCCCUAAGGCGAGGCCGAAAGGCGUAGUCGAUGGGAAACAGGUUAAUAUUCCUGUACUUGGUGUUACUGCGAAGGGGGGACGGAGAAGGCUAUGUUGGCCGGGCGACGGUUGUCCCGGUUUAAGCGUGUAGGCUGGUUUUCCAGGCAAAUCCGGAAAAUCAAGGCUGAGGCGUGAUGACGAGGCACUACGGUGCUGAAGCAACAAAUGCCCUGCUUCCAGGAAAAGCCUCUAAGCAUCAGGUAACAUCAAAUCGUACCCCAAACCGACACAGGUGGUCAGGUAGAGAAUACCAAGGCGCUUGAGAGAACUCGGGUGAAGGAACUAGGCAAAAUGGUGCCGUAACUUCGGGAGAAGGCACGCUGAUAUGUAGGUGAAGUCCCUCGCGGAUGGAGCUGAAAUCAGUCGAAGAUACCAGCUGGCUGCAACUGUUUAUUAAAAACACAGCACUGUGCAAACACGAAAGUGGACGUAUACGGUGUGACGCCUGCCCGGUGCCGGA
rnacentral:rRNA from 1 species